rnacentral:lncRNA from 1 species
AUAGUUAAGAUGUGUGCAAGUGUGUCUUAUUUUUAGAGUUCUAACCUUCAAUUUUGGAUCAAGUUUUCCAGCCAAGGCCAACAGGAGUGUGGUUUUUCCAGAACUUGGAGGGCCCAAAAGCAAUGUCAUUAUGAAAAGAACCAAAUUGAAACAUGUUAUAUUGGUUCAAAGAGCUCCAAAGAGAAAUCAAUUAAUAGAACAUUAUUUGUAUUGAUACCUUGAAGGCUUUAUUAUUCCACUAACAUUCCUGAGAAUAUUUAAAUGUUGUUUUCUACUUGGAAGUACAUGCAGAGAGUUCAAUAGGACCUUUAGAAUUAAAAUUUUAAAGAAUAAAACAAGAUUGUUUAGUUAGAAUCUCCUUCAAUAUAAAAUCACUUAGAAAGUUAGUGAAGUUAUAGUUAAAAUGAAAAAGUCCAAUUUCCGAGCUUACUUGGCAAAGCUUGAAAAUGUAGACAAAUGAAUU